AACUCCGCGUAGUUCUCCGUCCGACAUGU
rnacentral:sRNA from 1 species